UNUGACUUGAGUGCAGAAGGGGAGAGUGGAAUUCCAUGUGUAGCGGUGAAAUGCGUAGAUAUAUGGAGGANCACCAGUGGCGAAAGCGGCUCUCUGGUCUGUCACUGACGCUGAGGCUCGAAAGCGUGGGUAGCGAACAGGAUUAGAUACCCUGGUAGUNCACGCCGUAAACGAUGAGUGCUAGGUGUUAGGCCCUUUCCGGGGCUUAGUGCCGGAGCUAACGCAAUAAGCACUCCGCCUGGGGAGUACGACCGCAAGGUUGAAACUCAAAGGAAUUGACGGGGGCCCGCACAAGCGGUGGGGCAUGUGGUUUAAUUCGAAGCAACGCGAAGAACCUUACCAGGUCUUGACAUCCCGAUGCUAUUCUUAGAGAUAGGAAGUUACUUCGGUACAUCGGAGACAGGUGGUGCAUGGUUGUCGUCAGCUCGUGUCGUGAGAUGUUGGGUUAAGUCCCGCAACGAGCGCAACCCUUAUUGUUAGUUGCCAUCAUUAAGUUGGGCACUCUAGCGAGACUGCCGGUAAUAAACCGGAGGAAGGUGGGGAUGACGUCAAAUCAUCAUGCCCCUUAUGACCUGGGCUACACACGUGCUACAAUGGUCGGUACAAUGAGUUGCGAGCCGGUGACGGCAAGCUAAUCUCUGAAAGCCGAUCUCAGUUCGGAUUGGAGGCUGCAACUCGCCUCCAUGAAGUCGGAAUCGCUAGUAAUCGCGGAUCAGCACGCCGCGGUGAAUACGUUCCCGGGCCUUGUACACACCGCCCGUCACACCACGAGAGUUUGUAACACCCGAAGUCGGUGAGGUAACCUUUUAGGGGCCAGCCG
rnacentral:rRNA from 1 species